CCUACGGGGGGCAGCAGUGAGGAAUAUUGGUCAAUGGGCGAGAGCCUGAACCAGCCAAGUCGCGUGAAGGAUGACGGCCCUACGGGUUGUAAACUUCUUUUGUCAGGGAGCAAUUUAGUCCACGUGUGGGCUUAGCGCGAGUCCCUGAAGAAAAAGCAUCGGUUACUUCCGUGCCAGCAGCCGCGGUAUUCCGGGGGAUGCGAGAUUUAUCGGGAUUUAUUGGGUUAAAAGGUUGCGUAGGCGGAAUAUCAAGUCAGCGGUAAAACUUCGGGGCUCAACCCCGUCGUGCCGUUGAAACUGAUGUUCUUGAGUGGGCGAGAAGUAUGCGGAAUGCGUGGUGUAGCGGUGAAAUGCAUAGAUAUCACGCAGAACUCCGAUUGCGAAGGCAGCAUACCGGCGCCCAACUGACGCUGAGGCACGAAAGCGUGGGUAUCGAACAGGAUUAGAUACCCGGGUAGUC
rnacentral:rRNA from 1 species